GAGAUAUUAGAAAAAUUAUUUCAUGGCUUUGUCAAGGCCAAAUUAUAGGCCAGACCCUAUAUAUCUUA
rnacentral:tRNA from 1 species